GAGAGGAUGACCAGCCACACUGGAACUGAGACACGGUCCAGACUCCUACGGGAGGCAGCAGUGAGGAAUCUUGCGCAAUGGGGGAAACCCUGACGCAGCAACGCCGCGUGAGUGAAGGAGGCCUUCGGGUCGUAAAGCUCUGUCAAGUGGGAAGAACCUAUUUCGUGCUAAUAUCACGAGAUAAUGACGGUACCACUAAAGGAAGCACCGGCUAACUCCGUGCCAGCAGCCGCGGUAAUACGGAGGGUGCAAGCGUUAUUCGGAAUUACUGGGCGUAAAGGGCGCGUAGGCGGCUUUUUAAGUCAGGCGUGAAAUCCCGGGGCUAAACUCCGGAAGUGCGUUUGAAACUAGAAAGCUUGAGUACGGGAGAGGGAAGUGGAAUUCCUGGUGUAGAGGUGAAAUUCGUAGAUAUCAGGAGGAACACCGGUGGCGAAGGCGACUUCCUGGACCGAUACUGACGCUGAGGCGCGAAAGCGUGGGUAGCAAACAGGAUUAGAGACCCUGGUAGUCCACGCUGUAAACGUUGAACACUAGGUGUAGCGGGUAUUGACUCCUGCUGUGCCGCAGCUAACGCAUUAAGUGUUCCGCCUGGGGACUACGGUCGCAAGGCUAAAACUCAAAGGAAUUGACGG
rnacentral:rRNA from 1 species